GCCGGAGUGGUGGAAUUGGUAGACACAAGGGACUUAAAAUCCCUCGCCGUUUACGGCGUGCCGGUUCAAGUCCGGCCUCUGGUACCA
rnacentral:tRNA from 1 species